rnacentral:rRNA from 1 species
UACGGGGGGGGCAAGCGUUGUUCGGAAUUACUGGGCGUAAAGGGCUCGUAGGCGGCCAACUAAGUCGGAUGUGAAAUCCCCAGGCUCAACUUGGGAACUGCAUCCGAUACUGGAUGGCUUGAAUCCGGGAGAGGGAUGCAGAAUUCCAGGUGUAGCGGUGAAAUGCGUAGAUAUCCGGAGGAACACCGGUGGCGAAGGCGGCUUCCUGGACCGAUACUGACGCUGAGGCGCGAAAGCUAGGGGAGCAAACGGG